rnacentral:rRNA from 1 species
ACGUAAGGGGCGAGCGUUGCUCGGAAUUACUGGGCGUAAAGGGCGUGUAGGCGGUAUAGCAAGUCCAAUGUAAAAAACCGUGGCUUAACUGCGGGGAUGCGUUGGAAACUGCUAUGCUUGAAUCUGGUGGAGGGUGAUGGAAUUCCCGGUGUAGCGGUGAAAUGCGUAGAUAUCGGGAAGAACACCGAAGGCUAAAGCAGUCAUCCAUGCCAAGAUUGACGCUGAGGCGCGAAAGCAUGGGUAUCAAACAG